AUCCAGACUCCUACGGGAGGCAGCAGUGGGGAAUAUUGCACAAUGGGGGAAACCCUGAUGCAGCGACGCCGCGUGAGUGAAGAAGUAUUUCGGUAUGUAAAGCUCUAUCAGCAGGGAAGAUAAUGACGGUACCUGAGUAAGAAGCCCCGGCUAACUACGUGCCAGCAGCCGCGGUAAUACGUAGGGGGCAAGCGUUAUCCGGAUUUACUGGGUGUAAAGGGAGCGUAGACGGCAGUGCAAGUCUGAAGUGAAAGCCCCGGGCUUAACCCGGGAAUUGCUUUGGAAACUGUACGGCUGGAGUGCUGGAGAGGUAAGCGGAAUUCCUAGUGUAGCGGUGAAAUGCGUAGAUAUUAGGAGGAACACCAGUGGCGAAGGCGGCUUACUGGACAGUAACUGACGUUGAGGCUCGAAAGCGUGGGGAGCAAACAGGAUUAGAUACCCGCGUAC
rnacentral:rRNA from 1 species